GAUCCUGGCUUAGGAGUGAACGCUAGCGAUAGGCCUAACACAUGCAAGUCGAGGGGCAUCACAUGAGGUAGCAAUACCGAUGGUGGCGACCGGCGCACGGGUGAGUAACACGUAUGCAACCUGCCUUCAACAAGGGCAUAACCCGUUGAAAGACGGACUAAUUCCCUAUGACACAGGGGUCCCGCAUGGGGAUAUUUGUUAAAGAUUAAUCGGUUGGAGAUGGGCAUGCGUUCCAUUAGCUUGUUGGCGGGUAACGGCCCACCAAGGCAACGAUGGAUAGGGGAACUGAGAGGUUUAUCCCCCACACUGGUACUGAGACACGGACCAGACUCCUACGGGAGGCAGCAGUGAGGAAUAUUGGUCAAUGGGCGCAAGCCUGAACCAGCCACGUCCGCGUGAAGGAAGACGGCCCUACGGGUUGUAAACUUCUUUUGCAAGGGAAUAAAGUUGGCCACGCGUGGCCUUUUGCAUGUACCUUGCGAAUAAGGAUCGGCUAACUCCGUGCCAGCCGCCGC
rnacentral:rRNA from 1 species